rnacentral:rRNA from 1 species
AUUGAACGCUGGCGGCAGGCCUAACACAUGCAAGUCGAGCGGAGCGGCGGACGGGUGAGUAAUGCCUAGGAAUCUGCCUGGUAGUGGGGGAUAACGUCCGGAAACGGGCGCUAAUACCGCAUAAUAUCAGAUGAGCCUAGGUCGGAUUAGCUAGUGGGUGGGGUAAAGGCCUACCAAGACGACGAUCCGUAACUGGCCGGCGAGUAUGAGCAGUCAAACUGGAACUGCAACACGGUCCAGACUCCUACGGGAGGCAGCCGUGGGGAAGAUUGGACAAUGGGCGAAAGCCUGAUCCAGCCAUGCCGCGUGUGUGAAGAAGGUCUUCGGAUUGUAAAGCACUUUAAGUUGGGAGGCGUUACCAACAGAAUAAGCACCGGCUAACUUCGUGCCAGCCGCCGCGGUAAUAC